CCGGCCGCUAGCGCGGGGGCGCUGGGCCCCGCUGGGAUCGAUGCGGGCGGCCGCGCCGGCUGGGCUCUGCGGGCUGGCACCCGGCCCGGGGCGGGACCCACCUCCGCUUUCGGAUCUCCUGAGGGUCCGGCAGGAGGUGGCAGCUGCAGCUCUGAGGGGCCCCAGUGGCCUGGAAGCCCACCUGCCCUCCUCCACGGCAGGUCAGCGUCGGAAGCAGGGCCUGGCUCAGCACCGGGAGGGCGCCGCCCCAGCUGCCGCCCCGUCCUUCUCGGAGAGGGAGCUGCCUCAGCCGCCCCCCUUGCUGUCGCCGCAGA
rnacentral:sRNA from 1 species